rnacentral:rRNA from 1 species
GACGGAGGAUGCAAGUGUUAUCCGGAAUCACUGGGCGUAAAGCGUCUGUAGGUGGUUUAAUAAGUCAACUGUUAAAUCUUGAGGCUCAACCUCAAAAUCGCAGUCGAAACUAUUAGGCUAGAGUAUAGUAGGGGUAAAGGGAAUUUCCAGUGGAGCGGUGAAAUGCGUAGAGAUUGGAAAGAACACCCGUGGCGAAAGCGGCUCUCUGGAACGGUACUGACGCUGAGACGCGAAAGCGUGGGGAGCGAACAGG